rnacentral:rRNA from 1 species
UAACGCGAAGAACCUUACCAGGUCUUGACAUCCCGACGACCGCCAUGGAGACAUGGCUUUCCCUUUUGGGACGGCGGUGACAGGUGGUGCAUGGUUGUCGUCAGCUCGUGUCGUGAGAUGUUGGGUUAAGUCCCGCAACGAGCGCAACCCCUGUCGUUAGUUGGUAACACGUUAAGGUGACCACUCUAGCGAGACUGCCGGUGACAAAUCGGAGGAAGGUGGGGACGACGUCAAAUCAUCAUGCCCCUUAUGUCCUGGGCUACACACGUACUACAAUGGCUACUACAAAGGGAAGCUAAGCCGCAAGGUGGAGCAAAUCCCCAAAAGUAGUCCCAGUUCGGAUUGUGGGCUGCAACUCGCCCACAUGAAGGAGGAAUUGCUAGUAAUGGCAGGUCAGCAUACUGCCGUGAAUACGUUCCCGGGCCUUGUACACACCG